UCCGCAUGUUUUCUACUGGACACGGGGGCUUCUCUGAGGUUGCUGGUCAGUCCAGUUCGGAUGGAUUUGAGCGCUAACUUCAAAUUUCAUUUUUUUUCCUGGGGUGGUUUUCAAAUUGACUGACCAAAUCAUUAACCGCAGAAACUUGAACUGGCCAAGUAACUAUCAUCACCAUGUUAGAAGAUUCAUCCAGUCCAGUUGAUGAAACUAAACUUCACUUUCAUGCGUAGUUGUCCGGCUGACCAAUUCGAUCUGCUGACAGCUAAGAGGCAAAGAAGGAUAAGGAGCAACGGAAAGCCAAGCGGAUGCUUAGGGCUCUUUCCUGGAAGUUACAGAGUAUUCCCGAUAGCUAAUCACCCUCACAAGAAAAAAAGAAAUUUAGAAUGUGGAAUUUUCAGCAUCAACUGGUCCUGCGUUUUCUUCCGGCGCCAGCAGCCAUCCCCAUUCAUCCAAUACAAAUUUUCAUCUGACGAUGGUCUUCUACUAAGCAGCUGAGAUGACAGAAGUUGUCGAUUUACCGUUCAACUAGUUUUUCACGCUCUACGCACUAUUAAUUAAGUAGGUUAAUCAUACUGAACUUUCCACAGGAUUGGCGUACGUGUCACAUUCGAAGGCUUUUGCUUUUUUGUGGAAUAUUUUCAAAUUUUGAUAACUUUAUCCCGUCAACUUUUUCAAGAUAGCUCUUACCAUUUUGUCUCUGUCAU